rnacentral:sRNA from 1 species
CAGGGACUCGGCCAGAGAAACGGGCCGAAAUUACUGCCAGACACAUCCGACCUUAGUUAAGGCCCCUCAGCCUGAACAGGCGGCAGAAUGAUAUUUUAUCUAUUCAGACUCGGAUUGCUAACGAAAAGUACCUAAGGACCAACAAAGAAGUAGAGUGGCUCAUAAGUGGUUUCUUCAGAGAAAUAUUUUUGAAAAGACCAGACGACAUCCUAAAAUGUGCUGCAGACUACUUCACGGAUCCAAGACUUCCCAACAAGAUUCACAUGCAGCUAAUUAAAGACAAGAAAGCGGCUUAAUUAGCAAAAUCAUGAUGCUCAGCUGUUGGGAGAGACCAGACAGAAUCCAGCCUCAGGGGUCGUCUGGAGGCAUGAGAGCCCUACUGCCAUCAGUGUGGGUUUCCAAGCUGCCUUGGGCUCUGUCUACUGUCGCAAAAGCUUUUAAAGAUAUUCAUUAAACAUGGACCUUCCUGCUC